ensembl:lncRNA
CUGGGGCUCCACGAGGCUGUGUGGGGCUGGAGCUGCUGGGCCAGGCAGGUGAUGUAGGGGGGGAUUCGGGGCGCAGGCCCCCGAGGGGCUGCCCGAGUUUCUCUCCCCGGCCCUGACUGGCUCCCGUCUCUCCUGUUGCAGCGCUGGCUUUCAGGGGGGCCAGGGACCCCCGGGAGACCGAGCUGACCCAGGGCCCUGGCCCCACGGCUGCGCCCGGAGACCAAGGCAGAGCCGUGGGCAAAAUGCACCAGAGACGCAGCCACCCGGACCCCAACCACGGUCGGACUCCGGAGCUCCCCGAAGCGCCGGUGCCGUGGCCGGGUGCCCCGUCCUGCGAGUGCGGCUCUCGCGCCUUCGUCUGCCUGGGCCAGCGCGCCCAGCUCAGCCGACACGUGGCCACUCACUGCCGGCCCCCAGCCCACCCCGCCCCACCCAGGUACGGCGCAGCCAGUGCGGGGCGGGGGGGAGACGACCCCAGGGCCUGGGCUCAGGCCCAGGGGAGGUGGGGGAGGCUGAGAGGAGCUGGGAGGCAGGGGGAGCCAAGGGGAAGCUGGGGCGGGGGCAGUGGGGGCGCGGGGAGCUCUGUCCAGCCCCUAACGAUGGGGGUUUGUCUCGGGGCAGGCGGAGACGCGGCGGUUCAGGUGCCCGGUCUGCGGGAAGGGCUUCAAAUACAAACACCACCUGAAAGAGCAUGAACGGAUCCACAGCGGCGAGAAGCCCUACGAAUGUGCCACCUGCGAGAAGCGCUUCUCCCAUUCGGGCUCUUACAGCUCCCACCUCAGCUCCCGCCGCUGCCUCCUGCCCGCCCCCGACGCCCCGGCCCCAUGGCAGAGCCGCCCAUGUGCUGCCAGGCCCCGGGGGGGCCACGGCAGAGACCUCUGCUCCCCACACAGCCCCGACCCGGCUUGGCCCCUUCUGGGCCCCCCUGACCUGGGAAUGGAGGGACCCAGAGAUGCCAAUGUGCCAGGGCCUGGCCCUGACCGGGGCCCCCCCGAGAUCCCCACCAUGGAGCAGCCCUUGGACCUGUCUCUGCCCAAGCCAGGCAAGGAGACGGAGCCCAGCCCGGUGCCCUCGGAGGAGCCCCCGAGCCGGCUGCCCUACGAGCCCCUCUACCUGCCCACCUCCCUCUGCACCCUCUUCCCAGCCUUCCUGCCCAGUACCCUCAGCCAUCUCCUCCCGCACGGGGCCCCUCGGCUGCACGGGAACCCGGAGCUGCCGGCCCCCCAGUUCCUGCCCUUUCUCCUCUACCCGUACGGGGCGGAGUCGGAGCCAGCCCUGCCCACGGGCCACAGGGAGCAACACAGGCCUCUGGUGAGAAACUGCCCUGGGAAAGCGGGGCUGCGGGUCGGGAGUGAGGGGCACUGGCAGAGCUGGGGGGAGCCCAGGGCUGGGCUA